GCGAUUUUCUUUGUCGAUCGUUUCUAGUAGAUUUAAAUCAGACAAACUUUUCCUACUUGCUAAGAAGUAUCGAUUUGUACGUGUUUUCGUCAGUAAUAGUCUAUAAACCACGUAUAAUGAAUUUUCUCGAGUUUGUUUUGCUUAUUUCGAUACUUUUAGAUUUUUGUUUUCAAAUUUUUAUGCCAGCAACUUUAUUUCAAUUUACAAUUAUACAACUUUUUCC